rnacentral:rRNA from 1 species
AUCUACCUACGGGGGGCAGCAGUGAGGAAUAUUGGUCAAUGGGCGCAAGCCUGAACCAGCCACGUCGCGUGAGGGAUGACGGUCCUAUGGAUUGUAAACCUCUUUUGUCGGGGAGCAAGGCCCGCCACGUGUGGCGGGAAGGAGAGUACCCGAAGAAAAAGCAUCGGCUAACUCCGUGCCAGCAGCCGCGGUAAUAAGGAGGAUGCGAGCGGUAUCCGGAUUUAUUGGGUUUAAAGGGGGCGGAGGCGGGAGGUUAAGGCGGCGGUGAAAUUUCGGUGCUC